GGAGAACAGAGAGAACAUGAGCUUUAUUUUGAAAGAUAUUUAUGACCCCCAAAGUUUAGUAAAUGUCAAGUGGGUGUUGUGUAGAACUGAGAGAGACCAUUCUCAGGAGAACAUCCGUCUUCAGUAAGUGGAAUUCCAGAUUACACAAAGCUGCAGGCAUAAAAGAAGCUGCAAAAGCAAGUUCAGCCUGAAAAUGAAAUCAUUUUCUCUAGGAAAAAAAUAAUAAAAAAGAAAAUGAAAGUGAAAGUAAGGACUUAAUGGAAAUCAUCAUGCUUUUAUAAAGUUUACUUUCUAUCUAACAGUAUAUAUAUAUAAUUGAAUCUGUUAUACCAGUCUUUGUUUUAAACAUUGCUGUUGUCUUUUCCUAGAGUUGGCAUAUUUACAUAAUUAAAUAAAUAAUUAAAAAAAAUGCACACACAAAAAUGGAAACAAAAAAAGUCCAAAUGCUUACUCUGUUCCCCAAAAUUAUGAUCUUUGUGAAUUAAUUAAACUAAUUUCUUUGUGAAUUCAAGAUAUUCUUUUAAGAAGACAUUUAAAGGCUCUGAGCAGAAACUUUCUUCAGGAUGUAACUCAACCCCAGGGAACUGUAUCUGAUUUAGCUCAGCGUAAAGGAGCAUAGAACUUGUUUUGUAAUGCAUGUGUAGAGUGCAGAGUGCAGGUGAUGACUUGAGCUAUGAAAAUUUACUUUAUAAAACCUGCACCCACACCUUCUGAAAGCACUGUCAGGUUUACCAAAAGGUUAACGAAAGUUGUGAACCUUUCAAGUAAACCUAUGGCUAAUUUUGUGUAUCUUGAUUGAUUUAUGGUUACAUGUAUUUGACAAGCCAAAGUUCAGCUUUUUUCCUUACUGUCUUACACUUGGAGUUAUUUUGCUUCCUUGAGCCUGGAACUGAAACUGAGUUUCAUGAGAUACAACCCCUUGGAAACUGAAACCAAGGAAUCUUUUCUACAAAUCUAAGGAUGGAAACUGCUGAGUUUCAGACAGGUCUGUAUACAGCUCAGUCUUCUUUUUAGCUCCCCUGAGAUCCUGCAGUCCGUAAUUGAGAAUAAAAGAUACAAAAUAGCUGUAUAUGCUCUGCAUUGUUCUGUGAUCUAAAGUCUCUUCCUAAUUUCCUGUUGCACAGUUCUGUAUGAAAAUCCAGAACAUGGUGGUUGCAUCUUUGGAGCUAGGGAAUGGAAACAACAUGUUUAGGAUGAUCUUAUGCUCUAUCUAAGCUUGGCUGCAACAGCAAACAAAACACAGAAGUCUGUGACUGUAAUAUGCAGCAGGCCCAGACUUACGGGCCUCUGUUGACAGUCUGCCUCUCCUGUUGGUUUAUGUCCUCCUCACCGUGCUUGCUUCAGGCCUGACCAGAAGUUGUGGAGGCAGGUGGGGGAGCUAAGCGGCUUCACAGAUGCUCCACGUGGUGCCACCUUGUGCUAGCAUUGCUAACCUUUUACCCCUCACAUAAAUCGAUGUCUCUUGCUGCUCUUAACUGAGAGCUGAACUGGGGCCUCUGUGAGGUUGGAUGUGUCUCCUGUGCACUGCCAGCAGCAAGGCUGAAACUCCACCAAAGCACCUAAUGCUUCAUCUAGACCACCCAACAAUAGUGUGAGGUCAAGCAUUGCUGGAACCUAGUCCUGGGGGUGUCCAGAUCUGGCUAGAGUGAACUUUGCACUCUACCAGCAAACGUACUGCAGCAUCCUCUCCAUAGGAAGAGGAGAGGCAGGGAAGGGAGAACAUUACCCAUAUUUUUUUUAUUUUUUAUUUUUUUCCCCAAGAUAGAUGUACCUGGGACUUCUAGGAAGUAAGAAAUGCUCUCAGUUUCUGCAACUGGACAUAGUUUUGGUUGGACUUAUGCCCUCUGAAGAAACCUCUAUCAUGACUAUACAAGGACUCCAAGGAGACCUGUGCUUCAACACAGAUAUUCAUAUAACGUGUUUGAAGAUAGGUGUUCUCAUCGUCCUCCAUUUUGUUAAUCUGUAAUAUUGAUUUGAAUAGUUUUAAGUAAUUUUAUUUCACUAUUUAUAUAGACUAAAUAGAUAAUACCGACACUGUAAUCAGGUAUGACAACUUUCACAUUAAAUUUCUGCCUCGUGCCCUGAUUUCUACGAAGUCUGUGAAAUGCACAAGUGAAUAUGUAUGCAAUAUGGAGGCUAUCGUUUCCUGUAAUCUGCAGUAUGAUUUUUAUUAUUUGAGGUGAUUACUUUUUAUGUCUAUCUUGAAAUAAAAUUCUUGUAAUU